rnacentral:lncRNA from 13 species
GUCCGCUUCUGUGAAAGCCUCAGGGAGCUUACAAUCAUGCCAGAGGCAGAGGGGGAGCAGGUGCCUCACAUGAUGAGAGGGGGAGCAAGAGAGAGUGGGGAGGUGCCGGGCUCUUCUAAGCAACCGGGUCUCAUGUGAACUCUUUGUAAGAGCUCACUGCUGCAGGGAGGGCACCAAGCCAUUGGUGAGGGAUCACCCCCAUGUCCAGACACCUCCCGCCAGGCCCCUCCUCCAGCGUCAGGGAUCACACUUCAGCAGGAGAGCUGCAGAGCACAAACAUCUGAACUAUCAGCAAGCUCUGGACAAAGAGGACGCUGACUUCUGCACGAACCCCUCCAGUUUCGGUGAAAUACUUCUCAAGGUACUAGUCUCAUCUUUUCCCAGAAAUGAAGGAUGGUCAGACUAUCUGGGAUUACAAGCAGAGAGCGAAAAUGUCCCUUUAACCCGAGGACACUGCAGGAAAGGUCCUUCUUCCCCUUGGGCAUUUUCCUCACGAUUGCUUUAGCCCGGCCCUCAGGCUAUGGAGUUCUCCUUUCCAUUCUGUGAAUACACUGGAACUGAAAAUAAGAUUUGGAAUAAACGUGUAUUUAUCAACA